AUAUCAAUAAGCGGAGGAAAAGAAACCAACAGGGAUUGCCUUAGUAACUGCGAGUGAAGCGGCAAAAGCUCAAAUUUGAAAUCUGGUACCAUUCGGUGCUCGAGUUGUAAUUUGGAGAGGCAACUUCGGAGAGGGCGUUGGCCUAAGUUCCUUGGAACAGGACGUCACAGAGGGUGAGAAUCCCGUGCUUGGCUGACUGUCCCUCUUCAUGUGAAGUGUCUUCGACGAGUCGAGUUGUUUGGGAAUGCAGCUCAAAAUGGGUGGUAAACUCCAUCUAAGGCUAAAUAUUGGUGGGAGACCGAUAGCGCACAAGUA
rnacentral:rRNA from 1 species